rnacentral:rRNA from 1 species
GACGAACGCUGGCGGCGUGCUUAACACAUGCAAGUCGAACGGGGCGAAGUGAUAGCUUGCUAUUAUGGAGCCUAGUGGCAAACGGGUGAGUAACGCGUAGGCAACCUGCCCUUCAGAUGGGGACAACACCUCGAAAGGGGUGCUAAUACCGAAUGACGUUUCCUAGUCGCAUGACCUGGAACCAAAGGCUGGGCAACCGGUCACUGAAGGAUGGGCCUGCGUCUGAUUAGCUAGUUGGUGGGGUAACGGCCCACCAAGGCGACGAUCAGUAGCCGGUCUGAGAGGAUGAACGGCCACAUUGGGACUGAGAUACGGCCCAGACUCCUAC